rnacentral:rRNA from 1 species
UACGAAGGGGGCUAGCGUUGCUCGGAAUUACUGGGCGUAAAGGGCGCGUAGGCGGCACUGUUAGUCAGGCGUGAAAGUCCUGGGCUCAACCUGGGAACUGCGCUUGAUACGGCAGAGCUAGAGGAUGGAAGAGGGUCGCGGAAUUCCCGGUGUAGCGGUGAAAUGCGCAGAUAUCGGGAAGAACACCCGUGGCUAAGGCGGCUCUCUAGUACGGUACUGACGCUGAGACGCGAAAGCGUGGGGAGCGAACAGG